AGGACGAACGCUGGCGGCGUGCCUAAUGCAUGCAAGUCGCACGGCCACCUCGGUGGCAGUGGCGCACGGCUGAGGAGCACGUGGCUGACCUACCCCGGCGUGGGGGACAACGGGCCGAAAGGCCCGCUAAUCCCGCAUACGAUCACCCUCGCGGUGAGGAAAGCCUUCGGGCGCGCUGGGCAGGGGCCGCGUCCCAUUAGCUUGUUGGUGUGGUAAUGGCGCACCAAGGCUAUGAUGGGUUCCGGGUCUGAGAGGACGACCGGGCAGACUGGGACUGGAGACGACGGCCCAGACUCCGACGGGGGCAGGCAGCGAAGGAUUUCGGCAAGUGGGCGCAAGCCUGACCGAGCAACGCCGCGGUGGAGGAUGGACGGUCGUUUCGGGUAGUAAACUUCCGUUUUCGGGU
rnacentral:rRNA from 1 species